rnacentral:tRNA from 1 species
GAUGAGAUGGCCGAGAUAGGCGAUAAGCUGUAAAUUUAUUCACGAAAUUCAUUUCUCUCAUCA